rnacentral:lncRNA from 1 species
UGGAAAUUUUCAUAUUUCUGAUAGUGCUAAAAGGAAAUAUGAGAAUGCACAAAGAAAUUCACAAAAGUUUCCGCUCCACUGUAUCUUAGGCCCACAGGACUCUCAAAGAGCCCAAAAAUAAAUAAAAAAAAUCUGCAUUUCUAUUAUUUGUCACGUUUACUUAUUUAUGUAGAUAAUUCUACAUGAGUGUUUCUGCUACACCACCACAUCCCUCUCCUGCACCUCUCCAAAUUUUGUAUUCAAAAAGUACAUUUUUUACCUUUACCAUUUAUCUUUUUUACUCUUUCUUAAAAUCCUAAUUUACCUCUCUCUUAUUCACUUAGCCGCACACCCUACUCUUCGUCUCACACUCUCACUUUCUUUCUUCCUCUUCUCUCUUAUUCCUCUGUUCCCAUUCCCCCAUUUCCAUUUUCAGUUCUUUUUCCCUUUUUUUUCAUUGGUUUGUGUUGUGCUUGGUUCGUGUUGUUUGCUUCGUGGUGUGGAGUUUGGUACUUUGUUUCGUUGUGUUUCGUCUCCGAUCCAAUUGGUGCUUCUUCUUUCGUUCAUACCAAUGUUAUUGGCAUUAUUUAUAGUUUGAUUUGGAUGUAUAUUGUGUGUGUUGUGCAUUAUGUAAGAUCAUUAUUCUGCUGGUGGUAUAUGUUGUGCUGCAU